rnacentral:rRNA from 2 species
AAGCUUUUAAGAGCAGAUGGCGGAUGCCUUGCCAAAGAGAGGCGAUGAAGGACGUACUAGACUGCGAUAAGCUAUGCGGAGCUGUCAAGGAGCUUUGAUGCGUAGAUGUCCGAAUGGGGCAACCCAACUAAUAGAGAUAUUAGUUACUCUAAUUUAGAGAGCGAACCUAGUGAAGUGAAACAUCUCAGUAACUAGAGGAAAAGAAAUCAACGAGAUUCCCUAAGUAGUGGCGAGCGAACGGGGAAAAGGGCAAACCGAGUGCUUGCAUUCGGGGUUGAGGGCUGCAACAUCCAAGAGAACGCUUUAGCAGAGUUACCUGGAAAGGUAAGCCAUAGAAAGUGAUAGCCUUGUAUGCGACAAGGCGUUUUUAGGUAGCAGUAUCCAGAGUAGGCCAGGACACGAGGAAUCCAGGUUGAAGCCGGGGAGACCACUCUCCAACCCUAAAUACUACUCUUUGAGCGAUAGCGAACAAGUACCGUGAGGGAAAGGUGAAAAGAACCGCAGUGAGCGGAGUGAAAUAGAACCUGAAACCAUCUGCUUACAAUCAUUCAGAGCCCUAUGAUUUAUCAGGGUGAUGGACUGCCUUUUGCAUAAUGAUCCUGCGAGUUGUGGUAUCUGGCAAGGUUAAGCGAAUGCGAAGCCGUAGCGAAAGCGAGUCUUAAUAGGGCGAACGAGUCAGAUGCUGCAGACCCGAAGCUAAGUGAUCUAUCCAUGGCCAAGUUGAAACGCGUGUAAUAGCGCGUGGAGGACUGAACUCGUACCCAUUGAAACGGGUUGGGAUGAGCUGUGGAUAGGGGUGAAAGGCCAAACAAACUUAGUGAUAGCUGGUUCUCUUCGAAAUAUAUUUAGGUAUAGCCUCAAGUGAUAAUAAAAGGGGGUAGAGCCCUGAUUGGGCUAGGGCUGCUCGCCGCGGUACCAAACCCUAUCAAACUUCGAAUACCUUUUAACGUAUCUUGGGAGUCAGGCGGUGGGUGAUAAAAUCAAUCGUCAAAAGGGGAACAACCCAGACUACCAAAUAAGGUCCCUAAGUUCUAUUCUGAGUGGAAAAAGAUGUGUGGCUACUCAAACAACCAGGAGGUUGGCUUAGAAGCAGCCAUCCUUUAAAGAAAGCGUAACAGCUCACUGGUCUAGUGGUCAUGCGCUGAAAAUAUAACGGGGCUAAGAUAGACACCGAAUUUGUAGAUUGUGUUAAACACAGUGGUAGAAGAGCGUUCAUACCAGCGUUGAAGGUAUACCGGUAAGGAGUGCUGGAGCGGUAUGAAGUGAGCAUGCAGGAAUGAGUAACGAUAAGAUAUAUGAGAAUUGUAUCCGCCGUAAAUCUAAGGUUUCCUACGCGAUGGUCGUCAUCGUAGGGUUAGUCGGGUCCUAAGCCGAGUCCGAAAGGGGUAGGUGAUGGCAAAUUGGUUAAUAUUCCAAUACCGACUAUGGAGCGUGAUGGGGGGACGCAUAGGGUUAAGCGAGCUAGCUGAUGGAAGUGCUAGUCUAAGGGCGUAGAUUGGAGGGAAGGCAAAUCCACCUCUGUAUUUGAAACCCAAACAGGCUCUUUGAGUCCUUUUAGGACAAAGGGAGAAUCGCUGAUACCGUCGUGCCAAGAAAAGCCUCUAAGCAUAUCCAUAGUCGUCCGUACCGCAAACCGACACAGGUAGAUGAGAUGAGUAUUCUAAGGCGCGUGAAAGAACUCUGGUUAAGGAACUCUGCAAACUAGCACCGUAAGUUCGCGAUAAGGUGUGCCACAGCGAUGUGGUCUCAGCAAAGAGUCCCUCCCGACUGUUUACCAAAAACACAGCACUUUGCCAACUCGUAAGAGGAAGUAUAAGGUGUGACGCCUGCCCGGUGCUCGAAGGUUAAGAGGAUGCGUCAGUCGCAAGAUGAAGCGUUGAAUUGAAGCCCGAGUAAACGGCGGCCGUAACUAUAACGGUCCUAAGGUAGCGAAAUUCCUUGUCGGUUAAAUACCGACCUGCAUGAAUGGCGUAACGAGAUGGGAGCUGUCUCAACCAGAGAUUCAGUGAAAUUGUAGUGGAGGUGAAAAUUCCUCCUACCCGCGGCAAGACGGAAAGACCCCGUGGACCUUUACUACAACUUAGCACUGCUAAUGGGAAUAUCAUGCGCAGGAUAGGUGGGAGGCUUUGAAGUAAGGGCUUUGGCUCUUAUGGAGCCAUCCUUGAGAUACCACCCUUGAUGUUUCUGUUAGCUAACUGGCCUGUGUUAUCCACAGGCAGGACAAUGCUUGGCGGGUAGUUUGACUGGGGCGGUCGCCUCCUAAAAAGUAACGGAGGCUUGCAAAGGUUGGCUCAUUGCGGUUGGAAAUCGCAAGUUGAGUGUAAUGGCACAAGCCAGCCUGACUGUAAGACAUACAAGUCAAGCAGAGACGAAAGUCGGUCAUAGUGAUCCGGUGGUUCUGUGUGGAAGGGCCAUCGCUCAAAGGAUAAAAGGUACCCCGGGGAUAACAGGCUGAUCUCCCCCAAGAGCUCACAUCGACGGGGAGGUUUGGCACCUCGAUGUCGGCUCAUCGCAUCCUGGGGCUGGAGCAGGUCCCAAGGGUAUGGCUGUUCGCCAUUUAAAGCGGUACGCGAGCUGGGUUUAGAACGUCGUGAGACAGUUCGGUCCCUAUCUGCCGUGGGCGCAGGAAAGUUGAGGAGAGCUGUCCCUAGUACGAGAGGACCGGGAUGGACGUGUCACUGGUGCACCAGUUGUUCUGCCAAGAGCAUCGCUGGGUAGCUACACACGGAUGUGAUAACUGCUGAAAGCAUCUAAGCAGGAAGCCAACUCCAAGAUAAACUUUCCCUGAAGCUCGCACAAAGACUAUGUGCUUGAUAGGGUAGAUGUGUAAGUGCAGUAAUGCGUUUAGCUGACUACUACUAAUAGAGCGUUUGGCUU